GCAGUAGCCACGGUAAUGCGUAGGUGGCAAGCGUUGUCCGGAAUUAUUGGGCGUAAAGGGCUCGCAGGCGGUUUCUUAAGUCUGAUGUAAAAGCCCCCGGCUCAACCGGGGAGGGUCAUUGGAAACUGGGAAACUUGAGUGCGGAAGAGGAGAGUGGAAUUCCACGUGUAGCGGUGAAAUGCGUAGAGAUGUGGAGGAACACCAGUGGCGAAGGCGACUCUCUGGUCUGUAACUGACGCUGAGGAGCGAAAGCGUGGGGAGCGAACAGGAUUAGAUACCCGCGUAGUCCCUGUCUCUUAUAC
rnacentral:rRNA from 1 species